GACGAACGCUGGCGGCAUGCCUAAUACAUGCAAGUCGAGCGAACAGAUGAAGUGCUUGCACUUCUGACGUUAGCGGCGAACGGGUGAGUAGCACGUAAGGAAUCUACCUAUAAGCGGGGGAUAACAUUCGGAAACGGGUGCUAAUACCGCAUAAUAUCUUCUUCCGCAUGGAAGAAGAUUGAAAGACGGCUCUGCUGUCACUUAUAGAUGACCUUGCGGUGCAUUGGUUAGUUGGUGGGGUAACGGCCUACCAAGACGAUUAUGCAUAGCCGACCUGAGCGGGGGAUCGGCCACCUUGGGACUGGGACCCGGCCCAAACUCCUGCGGGAGGCAGCAGUAGGGAAUCUUCCGCAAUGGGCGAAAGCCUGACAGAGCAAUGCCGCGUGAGUGAAGAAGGCCUUCGGGUCGUAAAACUCUGUUAUAAGAGAAGAACAAAUUGUAGAGUAACUGCUACAGUCUUGACGGUAUCUUAUCAGAAAGCCACGGCUAACUACGUGCCAGCCGCCGCAGUAA
rnacentral:rRNA from 1 species